AUAAUAGAAACAAAUAUAAGAGAGAGAGAGAGAGAGAGAGGAUGUGAGGGUUUUGCUUGUGACCAAAAGGAAGUAGAAGAAGAAGUAGAUGACUAAAACUAGGAGAAGAGUGAGACUAAGAGGGAUAGAGGCUUUUCACCAUCUCAUUCUUUUCUACUUCUAACUUCAAGAGGUGUGAUUAUUUGUUUGGUCAUUGGUGAACUCUUGAUGCUGUUGUAGUUAAUGAUUUAUACCUUGAACGUAAGGUUCAUUUUUGUA